UAAGAAUGUGAGAAAUGGAGCUAAGCAC
rnacentral:piRNA from 1 species